GGAUUGUAGGUCAGUGGUAGAGUGCUCGCCUAGCAUGUGGAGACACUGGGUUCGAUCCUCAGCACCA
rnacentral:tRNA from 1 species